rnacentral:tRNA from 1 species
UGUGAAGUGCCUGAAUAAAGGAUAAUUUUGAUAGAAUUAAAAAUGUGAGCCCCCCCCCACCUUCACAA